rnacentral:rRNA from 1 species
AUACGUAGGGGGCGAGCGUUGUCCGGAAUUACUGGGCGUAAAGGGUGCGUAGGUGGCACUUUAAGCUGGAUGUGAAAUCCCCGUGCUUAACAUGGGAGCUGCAUCCAAUACUGGAGAGCUAGAGUGCAGGAGAGGUAAGCGGAAUUCUUAGUGUAGCGGUGAAAUGCGUAGAUAUUAGGAGGAACACCAGUGGCGAAGGCGGCUUACUGGACUGUAACUGACACUGAGGCACGAAAGCGUGGGGAGCAAACAGGAUUAGAUACCCUGGUAGUCCACGCUGUAAACGAGGAAUACUAGGUGUAGGGGGUAUCGACUCCCUCUGUGCCGCAGUUAACACAAUAAGUAUUCCGCCUGGGGAGUACGGCCGCAAGGUUGAAACUCAAAUGAAUUGGCGGGG